rnacentral:lncRNA from 1 species
GGAUAGGUUGACGAAGUCGGUGCACUUCAUACCUAUUCAUACUAUUUGGACCGGAGAGAAGCUCGCACAAGUGUACCUUGUUGAGAUUGUGCGUGUCACGCGCCGCCUCGAAACCAUUACCAAUUUGGCACGAUUCGGCCGCGGCGACAGACCGCCGAACGGACAGCACCACCCCUGUCCGUCCAAGGCUCAACAACAGGAAUGUGUACAAGAAUUUACACAGGACUUUAAAUUCUAAACAUACACAUUCAACGAGGGCACAAACAGUGCCAACAACAAGAAGAGCAAGUAAUCCACAAGAUAUAUGAGUGAAAUAAAGAGAGCACUUUACUAACUAUUACAAUAGUUGCAUUCUUUACAUUUACAUCAUUUUCCAAAAUGAAUACAUUUGAUCCUCAAAAUACAUAGCUCUCCAACCUCACCUACAUGAAUCUCUCUCAAUACAUAGGUGUGCUAAUGCAAAAGGAAAGCUACUAUACUACCACGGCCUCACUGAUCGGCCGCGAUGCCCUUGCCGCGGUCCUCCCUCGACAAUCCUGAACCUACCACUGAAAAUAGA